AUUGAACGCUGGCGGCAGGCCUAACACAUGCAAGUCGAACGAGUGGCGGACGGGUGAGUAAUGUCUGUGACACUGCCUGAUGGCGGGGGAUAACUCCUGGAAACGGUAGCUAAUACCGCAUACCAUCAGCUGUGCCCAGAUUGGAUUAGCUUGUUGGUGGGGUAACGGCUCACCAAGGCAACGAUCCCUAGCUGGUCUGAGAGGAUGACCAGCCACACUGGAACUGAGACACGGUCCAGACUCCUACGGGAGGCAGCAGUGGGGAAUAUUGCACAAUGGGCGCAAGCCUGAUGCAGCCAUGCCGCGUGUAUGAAGAAGGCCUUCGGGUUGUAAAGUACUUUCAGCGGGGAGGCGGUACCCGAAGAAGAAGCACCGGCUAACUCCGUGCCAGCAGCCGCGGUAAUUC
rnacentral:rRNA from 1 species